UACGAGGGGGGCGAGCGUUGUUCGGAAUUAUUGGGCGUAAAGGGCGCGUAGGCGGUGCUCUAAGUCGGAUGUGAAAACUCUGGGCUCAACCCAGAGCCUGCAUCCGAAACUGGAGUGCUAGAGUUCUGGAGGGGGUAGCGGAAUUCCUGGUGUAGCGGUGAAAUGCGUAGAUAUCAGGAGGAACACCGGUGGCGAAGGCGGCUACCUGGACAGAAACUGACGCUGAGGCGCGAAAGCUAGGGGAGCAAACAGG
rnacentral:rRNA from 1 species